rnacentral:rRNA from 1 species
AUACGUAGGGUGCAAGCGUUAAUCGGAAUUACUGGGCGUAAAGCGUGCGCAGGCGGUUUUGUAAGACAGUGGUGAAAUCCCCGGGCUCAACCUGGGAACUGCCAUUGUGACUGCAAGGCUGGAGUGCGGCAGAGGGGGAUGGAAUUCCGCGUGUAGCAGUGAAAUGCGUAGAUAUGCGGAGGAACACCGAUGGCGAAGGCAAUCCCCUGGGCCUGCACUGACGCUCAUGCACGAAAGCGUGGGGAGCAAACAGGAUUAGAUACCCUGGUAGUCCACGCCCUAAACGAUGUCAACUGGUUGUUGGGGAUUUAUUUUCUCAGUAACGAAGCUAACGCGUGAAGUUGACCACCUGGGGAGUACGGCCGCAAGGUUAAAACUCAAAUGAAUUGACGGGG